UACGUAGGGUGCAAGCGUUGUCCGGAAUCAUUGGGCGUAAAGCGCGUGUAGGCGGUCCGGUAAGUCCGCUGUGAAAGUCGGGGGGCUCAACCCUCGAAUGCCGGUGGAUACUGUCGGGCUAGAGUGCGGAAGAGGCGAGUGGAAUUCCUGGUGUAGCGGUGAAAUGCGCAGAUAUCAGGAGGAACACCAAUUGCGAAGGCAGCUCGCUGGGACGUUACUGACGCUGAGACGCGAAAGCGUGGGGAGCAAACAGG
rnacentral:rRNA from 1 species